rnacentral:rRNA from 1 species
GCUAGCGGCAGGCUUAUACAUGCAAGUCGAGGGGCAGCAAGGGUAGCAAUACCUGUUGGCGACCGGCAAACGGGUGAGGAACACGUACGCAACUUUCCCAAAACUGGUGAAUAGCCCUCCGAAAGGAGGAUUAAUACACCGCAAGAUAGAGAUAUGGCAUCAUAUUUUUAUUAUAGCUCCGGCGGUUUUGGAUGGGCGUGCGCCUGAUUAGGUAGUUGGCGGGGUAACGGCCCACCAAGCCUUCGAUCAGUAACUGGUGUGAGAGCACGACCAGUCACACGGGCACUGAGACACGGGCCCGACUCCUACGGGAGGCAGCAGUAAGGAAUAUUGGUCAAUGGACGCAAGUCUGAACCAGCCAUGCCGCGUGAAGGAUGACGGCCCUCUGGGUUGUAAACUUCUUUUAUCUGGGACGAAAAAAGGUCUUUUUAGAUCACUUGACGGUACCAGAGGAAUAAGCACCGGCUAACUCCGUGCCAGCAGCCGCGGUAAUACGGAGGGUGCAAGCGUUAUCCGGAUUUACUGGGUUUAAAGGGUGCGUAGGUGGGCUUAUAAGUCAGUGGUGAAAUCUUCGAGCUUAACUCGGAAACUGCCGUUGAUACUAUAGGUCUUGAAUAUCUGGAGGGUAAG